rnacentral:rRNA from 1 species
UACGAAGGGUGCAAACGUUGCUCGGAAUUAUUGGGCGUAAAGCGCACGUAGGCGGCUUGGCAAGUCGGAUGUGAAAGCCCUCGGCUCAACCAAGGAAGUGCAUCCGAAACUGCCGAGCUUGAGUACUUAAGAGGAUCGCGGAAUUCCCGGUGUAGAGGUGAAAUUCGUAGAUAUCGGGAGGAACACCAGUGGCGAAGGCGGCGAUCUGGGAAGAUACUGACGCUGAGGUGCGAAAGCGUGGGGAGCAAACAGG